rnacentral:rRNA from 1 species
UUUUCGCAAUGCCCGAAAGGGUGACGAAGCGACGCCGCGUGGGUGAGGAAGGCCUUCGGGUUGUAAAACCCUGUCAGGAGUUAUGAAAUGUAAGUACGCUAAUAUCGUGCUUAUUUGACAAAGGCUCCAAAGGAAGCCACGGCUAACUCUGUGCCAGCAGCCGCGGUAAUACAGAGGUGGCGAGCGUUGUUCGGAAUUAUUGGGCGUAAAGAGCACGUAGGUGGGUUUGCAAGUCAGAUGUGAAAGCCUUCUGUUCAACGGAAGAAUUGCAUCUGAAACUGCUAAUCUUGAGUAUAGGAGGGGAGAAUGGAACUUCUGGUGGGGCGGUGAAAUGCGUAGAUAUCAGAAGGAACGCCGGCGGCGAAAGCGAUUCUCUGGCCUAUUACUGACACUCAGUGUGCGAAAGCUAGGGGAGCAAACGGGAUUAGAUACCCCGGUAGUCCUAGCCGUAAACGAUGGGCACUAAGUAGAGGGGUU